rfam:Pongo abelii chromosome 18.
GUUGGAGUUCAUUGUAGAUUCUGAACGCGCCCGAUCUCGUCUGAUCUCGGAAGCUAAGCAGGGUCGGGCCUGGUUAGUACUUGGAUGGGAGACCUCCUUUUCUUUUUAUCUGAACUCUUCUC